UGAGCUACGGGUCUGUGCAGCUGGGAC
rnacentral:piRNA from 1 species